UGGGGAAUCUUGCGCAAUGGCCUAACGGCUGACGCAGCGACGCCGCGUGCGGGAGGAAGGUCUUCGGAUCGUAAACCGCUGUCAGGAGGGACGAAUUUGUCACGGGAGGCAAUGCCUGUGGCUUGACGGUACCUCCAGAGGAAGCACCGGCUAAACUCCGUGCCAGCAGCCGCGGUAAUACGGAGGGUGCGAGCGUUGUUCGGAAUCAUUGGGCGUAAAGCGCGCGCAGGCGGUCUGGGAAGUCUAUGGGUGAAAUGCCGGGGGCUCAACUCCGUGCCCGCCCAAGAUACUCCCAGGCUAGAGACAUGUAGAGGCGAGCGGAAUUCCGGGUGUAGCGGUGGAAUGCGUAGAGAUCCGGAAGAACACCAGAGGCGAAGGCGGCUCGCUGGGCAUGAUCUGACGCUGAGGCGCGAAAGCGUGGGGAGCGAACAGGAUUAGAUACCCUGGUAGUCCACGCUGUAAACGAUGGGCAC
rnacentral:rRNA from 1 species